AAAUUGAAGAGUUUGAUCAUGGCUCAGAUUGAACGCUGGCGGCAGGCCUAACACAUGCAAGUCGAACGGUAACAGGAAUCAGCUUGCUGUUUCGCUGACGAGUGGCGGACGGGUGAGUAAUGUCUGGGAAACUGCCUGAUGGAGGGGGAUAACUACUGGAAACGGUAGCUAAUACCGCAUAAUGUCGCAAGACCAAAGAGGGGGACCUUCGGGCCUCUUGCCAUCGGAUGUGCCCAGAUGGGAUUAGCUAGUAGGUGGGGUAACGGCUCACCUAGGCGACGAUCCCUAGCUGGUCUGAGAGGAUGACCAGCCACACUGGAACUGAGACACGGUCCAGACUCCUACGGGAGGCAGCAGUGGGGAAUAUUGCACAAUGGGCGCAAGCCUGAUGCAGCCAUGCCGCGUGUAUGAAGAAGGCCUUCGGGUUGUAAAGUACUUUCAGCGGGGAGGAAGGGAGUAAAGU
rnacentral:rRNA from 1 species